AGCGAACGCUGGCGGCAGGCUUAACACAUGCAAGUCGAACGCAUCCUUCGGGGUGAGUGGCAGACGGGUGAGUAACACGUGGGAACGUACCCUUCGAUCUGGGAUAACUUCGGGAAACUGGAGCUAAUACCGGAUACGCCCUUUGGGGGAAAGGUUUACUGUCGAAGGAUCGGCCCGCGUCUGAUUAGCUAGUUGGUGGGGUAACGGCCUACCAAGGCGACGAUCAGUAGCUGGUCUGAGAGGAUGAUCAGCCACACUGGGACUGAGACACGGCCCAGACUCCUACGGGAGGCAGCAGUGGGGAAUAUUGGACAAUGGGCGCAAGCCUGAUCCAGCCAUGCCGCGUGAGUGAUGAAGGCCUUAGGGUUGUAAAGCUCUUUUGUCCGGGACGAUAAUGACGGUACCGGAAGAAUAAGCCCCGGCUAACUUCGUGCCAGCAGCCGCGGUAAUACGAAGGGGGCUAGCGUUGCUCGGAAUCACUGGGCGUAAAGGGCGCGUAGGCGGCCAUUUAAGUCGGGGGUGAAAGCCUGUGGCUCAACCACAGAAUUGCCUUCGAUACUGGAUGGCUUGAGUUCGGUAGAGGUUGGUGGAACUGCGAGUGUAGAGGUGAAAUUCGUAGAUAUUCGCAAGAACACCGGUGGCGAAGGCGGCCAACUGGACCGACACUGACGCUGAGGCGCGAAAGCGUGGGGAGCAAACAGG
rnacentral:rRNA from 1 species